CCUACGGGCGGCAGCAGUGGGGGAUAUUGCACAAUGGGGUGAACCCUGAUGCAGCGACGCCGCGUGGGUGAAGAAGCGCCUCGGCGCGUAAAGCCCUGUCAGCCGGGAAGCAAAUGACGGUACCUGUAGCAUAAGCCCCGGCUAACGACGAGCCAGCAGCGGCGGUCAUACGUCGGGGGCAAGCGCUAUCCGGAUUUACUGGGUGUAAAGGGGGCGCAGACGGGGAUGCAAGCCAGGAGGGAAGGCCCGGGGCCCAACCCCGGGACUGCUCUUGGAACUGCGUGGCUGGAGUGCAGGAGGGGCAGGCGGAAUGCCUGGUGUAGCGGGGAAAUGCGUAGAUAUCAGGAGGAACACCGGUGGCGAAGGCGGCCUGCUGGACUGCAACUGACGUUGAGGCCCGAAAGCGUGGGGAGCAAACAGGAUUAGAUACCCCGGUAGUC
rnacentral:rRNA from 1 species